AUUGAACGCUGGCGGCAGGCCUAACACAUGCAAGUCGAGCGGUAGAGAGAAGCUUGCUUCUCUUGAGAGCGGCGGACGGGUGAGUAAUGCCUAGGAAUCUGCCUGGUAGUGGGGGAUAACGUUCGGAAACGGACGCUAAUACCGCAUACGUCCUACGGGAGAAAGCAGGGGACCUUCGGGCCUUGCGCUAUCAGGUGAGCCUAGGUCGGAUUAGCUAGUUGGAGGGGUAAUGGCUCACCAAGGCGACGAUCCGUAACUGGUCUGAGAGGAUGAUCAGUCACACUGGAACUGGGACACGGUCCAGACUCCUACGGGAGGCAGCAGUGGGGAAUAUUGGACAAUGGGCGAAAGCCUGAUCCAGCCAUGCCGCGUGUGUGAAGAAGGUCUUCGGAUUGUAAAGCACUUUAAGUUGGGAGGAAGGGCAGUAAAUUAAUACUUUGCUGUUUUGACGUUACCGACAGAAUAAGCACCGGCUAACUCUGUGCCAGCCGCCGCCGUAA
rnacentral:rRNA from 1 species